UACGUAGGGGGCAAGCGUUGUCCGGAUUUAUUGGGCGUAAAGAGCGUGUAGGCGGCCAGACAGGUCAGCUGUGAAAACUCGAGGCUCAACCUCGAGACGUCGGUUGAAACCGUCUGGCUAGAGUCCGGAAGAGGAGAGUGGAAUUCCCGGUGUAGCGGUGAAAUGCGCAGAUAUCGGGAAGAACACCCGUGGCGAAGGCGGCUCUCUGGGACGGUACUGGACGCUGAGACGACGAAAGCGGUGGGGAGCGAAACAGGG
rnacentral:rRNA from 1 species